rnacentral:rRNA from 1 species
GUUCCCUAUGGGAGGCAGCAGUGGGGAAUAUUGCACAAUGGGGGAAACCCUGAUGCAGCGACGCCGCGUGAGUGAAGAAGUAUUUCGGUAUGUAAAGCUCUAUCAGCAGGGAAGAUAAUGACGGUACCUGACUAAGAAGCUCCGGCUAAAUACGUGCCAGCAGCCGCGGUAAUACGUAUGGAGCAAGCGUUAUCCGGAUUUACUGGGUGUAAAGGGAGCGCAGACGGCAAGGCAAGUCUGAUGUGAAAGUUCGAGGCUCAACCUCGGGACUGCAUUGGAAACUGUUGAACUGGAGUACAGGAGAG